UACGUAGGGGGCUAGCGUUGUCCGGAAUCAUUGGGCGUAACGAGCGUGUAGGCGGCCCGGUAAGUCCGCUGUUAAAGUCAAAGGCUCAACCUUUGAAUGUCAGUGGAUACUGCCGGGCUAGAGUCCGGAAGAGGCGAGUGGAACUCCUGGUGUAGCGGUGGAAUGCGCAGAUAUCAGGAAGAACACCAACGGCGAAGGCAGCUCGCUGGGACGGUACUGACGCUGAGACGCGAAAGCGUGGGGAGCGAACAGG
rnacentral:rRNA from 1 species